CCCGAGCAUUGUUUUCGUUCUAAAAGAACUCACACUGGACUCCUCUCUCGUUUGCUCUAUAGCUCGAUCGCAUCCCGACUGAUCGGGGCAUUGACUUCUGAAUAAGCUAAUCCAAUCGAUUCGCUCACCUCCGCCCUAUCCGAAGCUCCCGCUUUCCGUAACUGGUCAGCAUCCUACUAACUCAAGGGAUCCUGUCAGUCACUGACUUAUCUUUCAACUCGUUGCUGAUUUCGUUUCUAGGAUGGGUUUGGCUCUGCCUGUAGCUAUUCUUGUAGCCGUUAGGGCUGGCCGAAUGAUCCAUCAAAUGAAUAGCCCGU
rnacentral:lncRNA from 1 species